rnacentral:rRNA from 1 species
GGUUACUUCGGUACAUCGGUGACAGGUGGUGCAUGGUUGUCGCCAGCUCGUGUCGUGAGAUGUUGGGUUAAGUCCCGCAACGAGCGCAACCCCUAUUGUUAGUUGCCAUCAUUCAGUUGGGGCACUCUAGCGAGACUGCCGGUAAUAACCGGAGGAAGGUGGGGAUGACGUCAAAUCAUCAUGCCCCUUAUGACCUGGGCUACACACGUGCUACAAUGGCUGGUACAACGAGCUGCGAGUCGGUGACGGCGAGCUAAUCUCUUAAAGCCAAUCUCAGUUCGGAUUGUAGGCUGCAACUCGCCUACAUGAAGUCGGAAUCGCUAGUAAUCGCGGAUCAGCACGCCGCGGUGAAUACGUUCCCGGGCCUU